rnacentral:rRNA from 1 species
AUUGAACGCUGGCGGCAGGCCUAACACAUGCAAGUCGAACGGCAGCACAGAAGAGCUUGCUCUUUGGGUGGCGAGUGGCGGACGGGUGAGUAAUGUCUGGGAAACUGCCCGAUGGAGGGGGAUAACUACUGGAAACGGUAGCUAAUACCGCAUAACGUCGCAAGACCAAAGUGGGGGACCUUCGGGCCUCACACCAUCGGAUGUGCCCAGAUGGGAUUAGCUAGUAGGUGGGGUAAUGGCUCACCUAGGCGACGAUCCCUAGCUGGUCUGAGGGGAUGACCAGCCACACUGGAACUGAGACACGGUCCAGACUCCUACGGGAGGCAGCAGUGGGGAAUAUAGCACAAUGGGCGCAAGCCUGAUGCAGCCAUGCCGCGUGUAUGAAGAAGGCCUUCGGGUUGUAAAGUACUUUCAGCGGGGAGGAAGGCGGUGAGGUUAAUAACCUCGCCGAUUGACGUUACCCGCAGAAGAAGCACCGGCUAACUCCGUGCCAGCAGCCGCCGUAA